CUGACUGCUAUCGGAUUGAUACUAAGCCAUGCGAGUCUUUGUAGUAAUACAAGGCAGACGGCUCAGUAACACGUAGUCAACCUACCCUAUGGACAAGAAUAAUCUCGGGAAACUGGGCAUAAUUCUUGAUAGAUCAUAAUGCCUGGAAUGGUUUAUGGUUAAAAUGAUUCGUCGCCAUAGGAUGGGACUGCGGCCUAUCAGCUUGUUGGUGAGGUAAUGGCCCACCAAGGCGAUUACAGGUACGGGCUCUGAGAGGAGAAGCCCGGAGAUGGGUACUGAGACACGGACCCAGGCCCUAUGGGGCGCAGCAGGCGAGAAAACUUUGCAAUGUGCGAAAGCACGACAAGGUUAAUCCGAGUGAUUUCUGCUAAAGAAAUCUUUUGCCAGUCAUAAAACCACUGGUGAAUAAGGGGUGGGCAAGUUCUGGUGUCAGCCGCCGCGGUAAAACCAGCACCUCAAGUGGUCAGGAUGAUUAUUGGGCCUAAAGCAUCCGUAGCCGGCUUUGUAAGUUUUCGGUUAAAUCCAUGUGCUCAACGCAUGGGCUGCCGAAAAUACUGCAUGGCCAGGGAGUGGGAGAGGUAGACGGUACUCAGUAGGAAGGGGUAAAAUCCUUUGAUCUAUUGAUGACCACCUGUGGCGAAGGCGGUCUACCAGAACACGUUCGACGGUGAGGGAUGAAAGCUGGGGGAGCAAACCGGAUUAGAUACCCGGGUAGUCCCAGCUGUAAACGAUGCAGACUCGAUGAUGCAUUGGCAUAAUAGCCAGUGCAGUGUCGCAGGGAAGCCGUUAAGUCUGCCGCCUGGGAAGUACGUACGCAAGUAUGAAACUUAAAGGAAUUGGCGGGGGAGCACCACAAGGGGUGAAGCCUGCGGUUCAAU
rnacentral:rRNA from 1 species